CAGGUCUCCAGGAUCACAACCUGAACCAAAGGCAAAUGCUUAACCACUGAGCCACCCAGGUGCCCCAUUAUCUGAUGCUUCUUAAUGGGAUUGCUGAUGUUACCAACAGGACCUCCCCAGGAGCCACUGGUUGAGAAAGUGUGUGUAUGACACAAGAAGAGAAUGAGGGAGAAAAUACAGCUGUCACUAUUGUUUCUAAAUGACAAGACCUGUUUUAGCACCAUGGGUAUAGAUAGUUAUUAGUGUUACAUAUCACCUUUAUGUUUAAUGUAUGUAAUAGUCCAAGAAGCUAAAAAAUAUAUAUAUACUUUGGAGAGGGUGGUAAAUCUAAGAUUUUACAGAUACCUGCUAAAUUGGGUUGAGUCUUAGCUCCUUCUUAGCUCAUAAGUGUCUUAGUUUUUUACCACCAUGUAACAAAUUACCAUAAACUCAGCAGCUUCAAAUGACACAUACUUUUUUAUCUCACAGCUUCCACUGGGUACCUGGGUCCUCUGCACAGGGUGUCACAAGACUGCAGUCAGUGUGUCAGCUGGAGCUCAGGUCUCCCUGGGCUCAGGGUCCUUCCUCCGCAGGCCCACAGGCAGAAUUCGUUUCCUCAAAGCCAUACAGCUCCUAACUGUCUGUUUCUUUGAGGCCAGAAGGGAGACAGGGAAUCUGCUGCUUUGUCUCUGACCUCUAGAUUUUCUUUUGAAGGCCUCAUCUGAUUAGGUCAGACCCACCCAAGAUAAUCUCUCUUUCGAUUAACUUAAAGACAACCGAUUAGAGAUCUUAAUUACAUCUGCAAAAUCCCUUCACCUUUGCCACUAAGGUAAUGAAGCAUCAGAAUGAUAUCCUAUCACCUUUGCUGUGCUCUAUCGGCUAGAAGCAAAUUAAAGCCCUGCUCACACUCAAGGGGGAGAAGAUGAUACAAAGGUGACAGACAUUGGGGUCAUCUUAGAAUCUCUGGGUAGGAAGGUCAUCUGCAUACUUUUUGAUCUAUUUCUAUUUAGCAAAGCUAUAGGCACACGAUGGAAAAGCAAUGGAUGGAUACUGAGAAUUUAAUGUUUGGAAAUAAAUUAAGGUUUUUGAAGACACAAAGUUUCUUCCAGCGCACACCCUGAAAAGGGUCAUGCUUUCCCCCAGUAGGUCUUCAGGGGUUGGGGUGAAGGAAGUGUGGGUAGGUGACAAUUCAGAAAGUACAUGAGCUAAAAAAAACACAAGCUGGGAAAUCUAGGGCCCGGCCCAAUUGCUCCUCUGAAAGCUCUGUGAGCUUCCCCCAUUUGGGGAGCAGGGGAAACCGUACCUGCUUUCCCUUGGCAGGGCUGCUGACCAGGCAAAAGGAGACCAAUAAACUGCAGGGACAAAGGUCUCAUUGUCCUGUCCGGACUGCCGAGGAGCUGGCUGGCAGUUAACAAUAUGCUGCUAUCUCAAAAGGUGGGCGUGUGAUCACAUCGCCAGGAGGUGGUUUUGUUUUUUUCAAUGAUAACCAGUGAGGCAUUCUUGAGAGGCAGCCAAGUCUCUCCCAUAAACUGGGGAAUGCAUUUUCUGAGCCCACGUUGGGGAGAAAGAGCCCCUUCCACACUUCCUCCAGAGUCCCACCCCAAAGCUGAGUUCUAGGGCCCCAAACGCCCGGUGCAGGGGUGCAGCCUCUCCAGCCGGCCUCCGCAGUCCCCCACGAGGCACACAAAGGAAGCGAGAUCGUGGGGGUCCGGGGCCUUUCUCGGUCAGGUGAGGACCGCUCCUCAGUUAGCCCGAGCGUUGCAGCCGCGCGGGGCAGGCACAGGUGCCGAGGCUCGGACCCACCCGCACGGGGCCUGCGGACCCAGCCUCCCCUCCCCGCGAGGCCGCCGGCGGCGGAUCAUGUGCCAACGUCAGAUCAAUGUAGGAAAUAAACGUGUAAUAAGUAAUAAUGGUGUCGUAAGAGUGGUUGUCACUGCAGUGGUUCUCUCUGCUGAAAAUAUGGGCUCCAGAGUGUGGAUUUCUUAGGCUAAUUUUGCCCUUAUUUAAAAGAAACUUUUAAAACACAUAAAAGAUGUGCUUUAUAAUAGGGAAGACUAUUUAAAAAGGGCAGAAUGAAAAAAAACAAAAAAAUUUAAAAAAUAAAAACUAAAAAGGGCAAAAUGGAAGAACACAGCUUCAUUUUAUCCUUGUUUAACCAUUGUCUUGUUCUUUUGGCUUUGAAAGGUCAAGUAAGUUUUUGUUUUCUGGAAGAACCGGUAUGUAUGUAUGUAUGUAUGUAUGUAUGUAUUUUUAAAGAUUUUAUUUAUUUAUUAACAAGAGACACAGAGAGAGAGGCAGAGACAUGGGGUGCCUGAUCCUGAUGCAGGACUCUAUCCCAGGACCCCAGGAUCACGACCUGAGCCAAGGUCAUAUGCUCAACCCCUGAGCCACUCAGGCCCCCUGGAAAAAACAGUAUUUAGAUGCGACCCUCCACAUCUCCCACCCUGUCCUGGUUUCCUCACAUCACCACGCCUGGGUCCUAAAUUCUCCAAGAAGCUACGUGACUUCAAGCUCAAACCAGGGCUGCAGUUGUUUACGUGGAAGAAAAACAAGCAUCUUUAGUGAUCUGGAAGCCAGCUCAAUUUAUGAUUUGCACACUUCGGAGCUUUCGGUGGAAACACCCCAACACCGCUAUCUCAAUGCGUUUUUCCUGACUCAUCAGAAGGAACAGGCCCGUGAAUGAAGGAAGCUGGAUUGUGACUUCUCUUGUAUUCCUGCACCCACUUAAACAUGCAUUCUAGAACAUGAGGCAAUUUGAGUAAACCAUCUUGCUUUUGAGUCACACACCAAAGAUAUUUUCGUAUCUGAGAUGCUUAAAGCAUGCCUUACAUGGGACGCAAAGACACAGCCAAAUGAGGGCAAAGUGAGGAAUGGGAAACGAAAUGUCUUGUAAUAACUGCCUGGUCUGGACUAUGGACUUGGUUGGAAUUUCCAAACGAGGGGAUCUUGUUGUUUUUGAAAGCCAUGUUGACAAACUGAUACUGUAUUUUUAGCAUGCUGCAAAUGGAAAGCAUGCAAGAUAUGUGAACAAUAUAUUUCCAAAUAUGACACAUAUUUAUAAAACACAGUAAACGCAUGACAGAUUGAGUAGGAUAUGUGGAAAAAUAACAGCUGUGCUACACCCUAUUUCUUAGCAAAUUCAUACACAACAAAUGACAUUCACAUCCCAUGUUUUUGCAAAAUCUAGUUUUUACGCAUUUUGGAAAAGGAUGUAGGGAAUGAAAGCAAAAGUUUGCAAAAGAAAAAAAAACCGGAAGAUGGCUGUAAAUUUAAGCGACGUGUCAUGUAAUUAUCAUGUAGAAAACUAGUUCCAGGUAGGUUACCCCAUUUCUCCCAGCACGCUGCCUUUUGAUGGAAAUGAUAUUAAAUGAAGCAUUAGAAGUGAUUUCCAUUUUAAGAUGGGCUAGAAAGGUACAUAUAAGGGAAAACAUACAGAACAUUUCAGUAUCUAAAAAAACCAACAUGUCUGCCAAUGAUGUGAAGAUUCACUUAGAUGGAGUAGAAUUGAUGCCAUUCAUAGUUUGUGGCAUCAAAGACAAGACUGGGCUCUGAACUGAGAAAAAUCUGACCAGAGACUCUUGGAUUUGAAUAAAAGGCCACAGAGAUCCAUGCUAUGUUCUAAAGCAGGGACUUAUCAUGAGAAGCAGUGUUUUUGAGGAGAGCAUGUUGGCACCUCUGAGUACAGUGCCGGCAGAGCAGUCUCUAACGACCGUGGUAGGAAUUCCUUAUAUUUGUAAUAUAGACAUUUACAAUUCACAAGUGAGUUUUCUCAUUUUCAAACCCAUAAUUUUAUUCAAGCUAUGGAACAGCCCUGUGAGGCCUGCAAGAAAGGUUUCAUCAUUCACGCUGUCCUUACAAUGAAACCAAGAGUUUGUGACUUCAGGGUCACCCUUAGAAAGAAGAGGCGCCAAUCCAAACAACAGGGAUAUUUGUUCAUUUAGCAUGCUACCUGGGAGAGAGGGAGCUAUAGGCCUUUUUUUCCUUCCUCUUCUUUUUACUUCUGCUUUUUUCCAAGUUUUCUGUGAUUAGAAAAUCUUAUUUUAUAGUUAAAAUAUUUUCUAAUGUAUAAAUUAAUAACAAUAUAAUUAUAAAAUAAAUUAUUUUAUGACUAUAAAAUGACAGUAGAUAUUAUUGUUGUCAACAAGGGACAAAAUCUCUGUUCUCCUUCCUUGUAGACCACUCCCUUACCUCCAUCCUCUACUUGAAGCUGGAGCGGACUUCCCUGUGCCUUUCAUUGUUGGCCUCUGCCCCCAGGCCGGAGGAAAUGCAAACUCAGAGAAUGCCAGGCUCUAUUCUGUAGGCUGAACUGGUAUAUGGAGUGUUUCAAGAUUCCGAAGCAAACAGUGCCUUAUCAAAGAAAGGUGAUGCUAAGAUUACAUUCUUAUGGGAGACUUUGCUAAAACGUUAAAAUACUGCAGUUGAAUUUUCUGGUUGGCCUUGGCCCUAUUGGAAGGAGACUUUGGGUAGCAGAGUAUGGGGAGGGAAGGGCCGGUGGGCAUGGGAGACUGUGGAGAGGGAGAUGUAUCAGUUGAAUUGAGAUGGAAGUCAUCGGAGGGUAUUCUGAGCUCUUCUGGUCCUUCCCUUGUGGGCAUGGCUCUAAUGGGACCUUCUUCACUAAUGGACUCGCCACAGAAACUCAUACAAGGAGGCCAUCUGAUCUAGCAUCAUAGAUAAGAACAGACCAGACUGCUUCCUUGAUGUUGGGCAAAGCAACUUAGCCUCUCAAUUUCCCCCUUUCUCUACCUGUAAAUAAAUGAUCUCACUGGAAGGUGAAGAAUAAUUGAGAUCAAAUUCCUGGAGGACUUGAUCUUAUGGUUCAGUUUUAACCCUUGGGGGAGGAGGGCCUUUGGAACCUUCCGAGCAUCCAAUGAGAGCUAGGAGCCUUCCUCCCAGAACAAUACAUACAUAACCAUCAACUUACACAUAAAUUCAUGUGGUUCAUAGACUCCCUCAAGCUUAAACUUCCUUUAAGUUAGAAAAAAAAAAAAACAACUCCUACUAUAGAAGAGAAGUGUUAUAAACAUG